rnacentral:rRNA from 1 species
CAGCAGCCGCGGUAAUACGGAGGGUGCGAGCGUUAAUCGGAAUAACUGGGCGUAAAGGGCACGCAGGCGGCUAUUUAAGUGAGGUGUGAAAUCCCCGGGCUUAACCUGGGAAUUGCAUUUCAGACUGGGUAGCUAGAGUACUUUAGGGAGGGGUAGAAUUCCACGUGUAGCGGUGAAAUGCGUAGAGAUGUGGAGGAAUACCGAAGGCGAAGGCAGCCCCUUGGGAAUGUACUGACGCUCAUGUGCGAAAGCGUGGGGAGCAAACAGGAUUAGAUACCCUGGUAGUCCACGCUGUAAACGCUGUCGAUUUGGGGAUUGGGCUUUAAGCUUGGUGCCCGUAGCUAACGUGAUAAAUCGACCGCCUGGGGAGUACGGCCGCAAGGUUAAAACUCAAAUGAAUUGACGGGGGCCCGCACAAGCGGUGGAGCAUGUGGUUUAAUUCGAUGCAACGCGAAGAACCUUACCUACUCUUGACAUCCAGA